CAGCCGCCACGGUAAUACAGUGGGUGCGAGCGUUAAUCGGAUUUACUGGGCGUAAAGCGUGCGUAGGCGGCUAAUUGAGUCGGAUGUGAAAUCCCCGAGCUUAACUUGGGAAUUGCAUUCGAUACUGGUUAGCUAGAGUGUGGGAGAGGAUGGUAGAAUUCCAGGUGUAGCGGUGAAAUGCGUAGAGAUCUGGAGGAAUACCGAUGGCGAAGGCAGCCAUCUGGCCUAACACUGACGCUGAGGUACGAAAGCAUGGGGAGCAAACAGGAUUAGAUACCCCCGUAGUCCCUGUCUCUUAUAC
rnacentral:rRNA from 1 species